rnacentral:rRNA from 1 species
AUUGAACGCUGGCGGCAGGCCUAACACAUGCAAGUCGAGCGGAUGAAGGGAGCUUGCUCCUGGAUUCAGCGGCGGACGGGUGAGUAAUGCCUAGGAAUCUGCCUGGUAGUGGGGGAUAACGUCCGGAAACGGGCGCUAAUACCGCAUACGUCCUGAGGGAGAAAGUGGGGGAUCUUCGGACCUCACGCUAUCAGAUGAGCCUAGGUCGGAUUAGCUAGUUGGUGGGGUAAAGGCCUACCAAGGCGACGAUCCGUAACUGGUCUGAGAGGAUGAUCAGUCACACUGGAGCUGAGACACGAUCCAGACUCCUACGGGAGGCAGCAGUGGGGAAUAUUGGACAAUGGGCGAAAGCCUGAACCAGCCAUGCCGCGUGUGUGAAGAAGGUCUUCGGAUUGUAAAGCACUUUAAGUUGGGAGGAAGGGCAGUAAGUUAAUACCUUGCUGUUUUGACGUGACCAACAGAAUAAGCACCGGCUAACUUCGG